rnacentral:rRNA from 1 species
GAUGAACGCUGGCGGCGUGCCUAAUACAUGCAAGUCGAGCGAACGGACGCUGAGCUUGCUUCUCUGACGUUAGCGGCGGAGGGGUGAGUAACACGUGUAUAACCCACCUAUCAGACUGGUAUAACUUCGGGAAACGGGAGCUAAUACCGGAUGAUAUUUUGCACCGCAUGGUUCAAAGGUGAAAGACGGUCUUGCGGUCACGUAUAGAUGGAUCCGCGCUGCAUUAGCUAGUUGGUAAGGUAACGGCUUACCAAGGCGACGAUGCAUAGCCGACCUGAGAGAGGGAUAGGCCACCUUGGAACUGAGACACGGUCCUGACUCCUACGGGACGCCGCAGUAGGGAAUCUUACGCAACGGGCGAAAGCCUGACGGAACAACGCCACGCGAGUGAUGACAGUCUUCGGAGCGUAAAACUCUGUUACUAGUGAAAAACAUAUGUGUACGUAACUGUGCACAUCUUGACGGUACCUGAUCAAAAAGCCACGGCUAACUACGUG